rnacentral:precursor_RNA from 1 species
GGGGAUUGGGGACUCAUGGAUGCCUUCUGACUCAUGGAUCUCCUCUCCCAGU